rnacentral:tRNA from 2 species
AAAAUCCGUCGACUUUGUAAGUCGUGAGGGUUCAAGUCCCUCUAUCCCCAA